UACGGAGGGAGCUAGCGUUGUUCGGAAUUACUGGGCGUAAAGCGCACGUAGGCGGCGAUUCAAGUCAGAGGUGAAAGCCCGGGGCUCAACCCCCGGAACUGCCUUUGAAACUAGAUUGCUAGAAUCCUGGAGAGGUGAGUGGAAUUCCGAGUGUAGAGGUGAAAAUUCGUAGAUAUUCGGAAGAACACCAGUGGCGAAGGCGACUCACUGGACAGGUAUUGACGCUGAGGUGCGAAAGCGUGGGGGAGCAAACAGG
rnacentral:rRNA from 1 species